UACAGAGGUCCCGAGCGUUGUUCGGAUUCAUUGGGCGUAAAGGGUGCGUAGGUGGCGCUGUAAGUCGGGUGUGAAAUUUCGGAGCUUAACUCCGAAACUGCAUUCGAUACUGCGGUGCUUGAGGACUGGAGAGGAGACUGGAAUUCAUGGUGUAGCAGUGAAAUGCGUAGAGAUCAUGAGGAAGACCAGUGGCGAAGGCGGGUCUCUGGGACAGUUCCUGACACUGAGGCACGAAGGCCAGGGGAGCAAACGGG
rnacentral:rRNA from 1 species